UACGUAGGGCGCAAGCGUUAUCCGGAAUUAUUGGGCGUAAAGAGCUCGUAGGCGGUUUGUCGCGUCUGCCGUGAAGGUCCGGGGCUCAACUCCGGAUCUGCGGUGGGUACGGGCAGACUAGAGUGAUGUAGGGGAGACUGGAAUUCCUGGCGUAGCGGUGAAAUGCGCAGAUAUCAGGAGGAACACCGAUGGCGAAGGCAGGUCUCUGGGCAUUAACUGACGCUGAGGAGCGAAAGCAUGGGGAGCGAACAGG
rnacentral:rRNA from 1 species